GAUGAACGCUGGCGGCGUGCCUAAUACAUGCAAGUCGAGCGAACGGACGAGAAGCUUGCUUCUCUGAUGUUAGCGGCGGACGGGUGAGUAACACGUGGAUAACCUACCUAUAAGACUGGGAUAACUUCGGGAAACCGGAGCUAAUACCGGAUAAUAUUUUGAACCGCAUGGUUCAAAAGUGAAAGACGGUCUUGCUGUCACUUAUAGAUGGAUCCGCGCUGCAUUAGCUAGUUGGUAAGGUAACGGCUUACCAAGGCAACGAUGCAUAGCCGACCUGAGAGGGUGAUCGGCCACACUGGAACUGAGACACGGUCCAGACUCCUACGGGAGGCAGCAGUAGGGAAUCUUCCGCAAUGGGCGAAAGCCUGACGGAGCAACGCCGCGUGAGUGAUAAAGGUCUUCGGAUCGUAAAACUCUGUUAUUAGGGAAGAACAUAUGUGUAAGUAACUGUGCACAUCUUGACGGUACCUAAUCAGAAAGCCACGGCUAACUACGUG
rnacentral:rRNA from 1 species